rnacentral:rRNA from 1 species
AGCAGCCGCGGUAAUUCCAGCUCCAAUAGCGUAUAUUAAAGUUGUUGCAGUUAAAAAGCUCGUAGUUGAAUUUCGAGAUCAAUAUGUUGGUCGUGCCUCGGUACGUACUUGCAUCAUUGAUUUCUCCCUUCUGAUGAACCAUGAUGCCAUUAAUUUGGUGUCUUGGGGAAUCAGGACUGUUACUUUAGAAAAAAUUAGAGUGUUUAAAGCAGGCUCACGCUUGAAUACAUUAGCAUGGAAUAAUGAAAUAGGACGUUUGAUUCUAUUUUGUUGGUUUCUAGGAUCGACGUAAUGAUUAAUAGGAUAGUUGGGGGCAUUAGUAUUCAAUUGUCAGAGGUGAAAUUCUUGGAUUUAUUGAAGACUAAACUACUGCGAAAGCAUUUGCCAAGGAUGUUUUCAUUAAUCAAGAACGAAAGUUAGGGGAUCGAAGACGAAUCAAGAUACCGUCGUAGUCUUAAACCAUAAACUAUGCCGACGUAGGAUCGGAUGAUUGUUUAAUUUUUAAUGUA